UACGGAGGAUGCAAGCGUUAUCCGGAAUUAUUGGGCGUAAAGCGUCCGCAGGUGGCUAUGUAAGUCUGCUGUUAAAGAGUGAGGCUCAACCUCAUAAGAGCAGUGGAAACUACAUGGCUAGAGUGCGUUCGGGGCAGAGGGAAUUCCUGGUGUAGCGGUGAAAUGCGUAGAGAUCAGGAAGGACACCGGUGGCGAAGGCGCUCUGCUAGGCCGCAACUGACACUGAGGGACGAAAGCUAGGGGAGCGAAUGGG
rnacentral:rRNA from 1 species